rnacentral:rRNA from 1 species
UACGGGGGGGGGCAAGCGUUGCUCGGAAUUACUGGGCGUAAAGCGCACGUAGGCGGCUUUCUAAGUCGGGGGUGAAAUCCUGGAGCUCAACUCCAGAACUGCCUUCGAUACUGGAGCUUGAGUCCGGGAGAGGUGAGUGGAACUGCGAGUGUAGAGGUGAAAUUCGUAGAUAUUCGCAAGAACACCAGUGGCGAAGGCGGCUCACUGGCCCGGUACUGACGCUGAGGUGCGAAAAGCGUGGGGGAGCAAACAGGG